rnacentral:rRNA from 1 species
GAUUAGUUUGAUCCUGGCUCAGAUUGAACGCUGGCGGCAUGCCUUACACAUGCAAGUCGAACGGUAACAGGUCUUCGGAUGCUGACGAGUGGCGAACGGGUGAGUAAUACAUCGGAACGUGCCCCGAUCGUGGGGGAUAACGCAGCGAAAGCUGUGCUAAUACCGCAUACGAUCUACGGAUGAAAGCGGGGGAUCGCAAGACCUCGCGCGGACGGAGCGGCCGAUGGCAGAUUAGGUAGUUGGUGGGAUAAAAGCUUACCAAGCCGACGAUCUGUAGCUGGUCUGAGAGGACGACCAGCCACACUGGGACUGAGACACGGCCCAGACUCCUACGGGAGGCAGCAGUGGGGAAUUUUGGACAAUGGGCGCAAGCCUGAUCCAGCCAUGCCGCGUGCAGGAUGAAGGCCUUCGGGUUGUAAACUGCUUUUGUACGGAACGAAAAAGCUCUCUCUAAUACAGGGGGUGAAUGACGGUACCGUAAGAAUAAGCACCGGCUAACUACGUGCCAGCAGCCGCGGUAAUACGUAGGGUGCAAGCGUUAAUCGGAAUUACUGGGCGUAAAGCGUGCGCAGGCGGUUAUGUAAGACAGAGGUGAAAAUCCCCGGGCUCAACCUGGGAACUGCCUUUGUGACUGCAUAGCUGGAGUGCGGCAGAGGGGGAUGGAAUUCCACGUGUAGCAGUGAAAUGCGUAGAGAUGUGGAGGAACACCGAUGGCGAAGGCAGCCCCCUGGGCCAAUACUGACGCUCAUGCACGAAAGCGUGGGUAGCAAACAGGAUUAGAUACCCUGGUAGUCCAAUC